CGGCGACCGGCGCACGGGUGAGUAACGCGUAUCCAACGUCCCCUUAGUAGGGCAUAGCCCGGCGAAAGUCGGAUUAAUACCCUAUGUUAUCCGAAGAGGACAUCUGAAUUGGAUUAAAGAUUUAUCGCUAAGGGAUGGGGAUGCGUCUGAUUAGGUAGUCGGCGGGGUAACGGCCCACCGAGCCUGCGAUCAGUAGGGUUCUGAGAGGAAGGUCCCCCACAUUGGAACUGAGACACGGUCCAAACUCCUACGGGAGGCAGCAGUGAGGAAUAUUGGUCAAUGGGCGCGAGCCUGAACCAGCCAAGUAGCGUGCCAGGAUGACGGCCCUAUGGGUUGUAAACUGCUUUUAUGCGGGGAUAAAGUGCACCACGUGUGGUGUUUUGUAGGUACCGCAUGAAUAAGGACCGGCUAAUUCCGUGCCAGCCGCAGC
rnacentral:rRNA from 1 species